rnacentral:tRNA from 1 species
GUUAAGAUGUCUGAGAAAAAAGUAGUAAACUGUAAAUUUACUUAUGAGUUAAAAUUUAAGCUCUCUUAAUA